AGAGUUUGAUCCUGGCUCAGAUUGAACGCUGGCGGCAGGCCUAACACAUGCAAGUCGAGCGGAAACGANUUAUCUGAACCUUCGGGGAACGAUAACGGCGUCGAGCGGCGGACGGGUGAGUAAUGCCUGGGAAAUUGCCCUGAUGUGGGGGAUAACUAUUGGAAACGAUAGCUAAUACCGCAUAACGUCUACGGACCAAAGAGGGGGACCUUCGGGCCUCUCGCUUCAGGAUAUGCCCAGGUGGGAUUAGCUAGUUGGUGAGGUAAUGGCUCACCAAGGCGACGAUCCCUAGCUGGUCUGAGAGGAUGAUCAGCCACACUGGAACUGAGACCGGUCCANACUCCUACGGGAGGCANCAGUGGGGAAUAUUGCACAAUGGGCGCAAGCCUGAUGCAGCCAUGCCGCGUGUAUGAAGAAGGCCUUCGGGUUGUAAAGUACUUU
rnacentral:rRNA from 1 species